CAGAUAUCAUGUGGAUUUAUGGCAGGUUUACAAUUGCUCGUCCUCGCCUCAGCACAUCUAUUAUUUUCAUCUCAGCUCUGGUAGAUGAGGAAACUGAGGCUCAGGAAGAAUAAGUCCCUUUCCCAAAGCCUGUCAGCUAUUAACUGGAAGAGGCACCAUAUUAUUCUGGGAAUGAAUGCAUUACUACCAAUAAUAGGGCAUCCUUGGGAAAAGACAGUAGAAGCUGAGUCGACAAGCACAGAAACCUGGGGCGUUCCUGGUUUAUAGAUGAGAAAGCUGAGAUCUGUGCACACAGAUCUAACAGAGCAGGCAUAGCAUCACUGGAGCAUGAAUUAUGACCAGCCUGGCCGGCAAGCAUCUUUCUACGAGCACAUCCUUUCUCAUUUGCAGUCACAGUGGUGCCUCCAGUGGAAUUGACUGGGUGAAAAGAGCUCGGUGUCAGAAAUCACCGGCGGCUUCUGCGUCUGCGGACCCAUCCCUUGCUGAGAGUUUACCAGGAUCCAGGUAUACCAGACAGCCGCCCCGAAUGUGCCUGUCGAAGUGCAUGCUGCCACCUCAGCUGGGGAAGACUCAGAGAGGCCAAGGAAGAUUUCACAGGGGCAGAAUUCCUUGUCUGGGUCUUGAAGGAAAGGAAAUG
rnacentral:lncRNA from 1 species